rnacentral:rRNA from 1 species
GGAACAUCCCUUUCUCGCAAGAGACUGCUGCGGAGGUGCUGCAUGGCUGUCGUCAGCUCGUGUCGUGAGAUGUUGGGUUAAGUCCCGCAACGAGCGCAACCCUUGUCCCUAGUUGCUACGCAAGGGCACUCUAGGGAGACUGCCGGUGACAAACCGGAGGAAGGUGGGGAUGACGUCAAGUCCUCAUGGCCCUUAUGGGUAGGGCCUCACACGUCAUACAAUGGCCGGUACAGAGGGUUGCCAAACCGCGAGGUGGAGCCAAUCCCAGAAAGCCGGUCGUAGUCCGGAUUGCAGUCUGCAACUCGACUGCAUGAAGUCGGAAUCGCUAGUAAUCGCGGAUCAGCAUGUCGCGGUGAAUACGUUCCCGGGUCUUGUACACACCGCCCGUCACACCAUGGGAGUGGGGUGCACCAGAAGUAGGUAGGCUAACCGCAAGGAGGCCGCUUACCACGGUGCGUUUCGUGACUGGGGUGAAGUCGUAACAAGGUAGCCGUAA